AAUUUGCCCUUUUUGGAUCAUACAUCUAAAUUUGUCCAAUUUUUGUCAAUAUAUUAAACUUCUUUUAAUAAUUAUUAUUAUUAUUUAUGACUCGAUAUCCAUUUCAUUUAGUUGAAUUUAGACCCUGACCAUUAACAGGAUCCAUAAGAGCUUUAUUUUUAACAACAGGACUUUCCUCAUGAUUUCACAAUUAUGAAAAUUCCCUUAUUUUUUUGGUUUACUACUUAUAAUUUUAACCAUAGUUCAAUGAUGACGUGAUUUAGAUUGGAUGAGCACAUUCCCGACAGAUCUGAAUACCACUUACAUUAUA